GGGAGCCUCGUCCGCGAUUUUGAGGCCCCGCUCCCAAGUUUCCACGGAUUUUUCCAAGAAAUCUGGCCACACUGCAGGCAACAGCCCAGACAACUGUCCGCAGCCAACUAAUGCGCCGCCCGCGUGAACUCCCCUCCAGCUCCCAACAACCCCGCAACGAGCAUGCGCAGUCACUGACGACAACAAACCCGCAGGCCGCGCCCCGCCCCCGUUUGCUCUUCACCCCCGGCUCCCAUUGGGUAGCGCCGCGUUCUGCAUGACGGCGCAGCUGACCAAUGGAAACUGGGUAGGCUUGACCGAGGGCGGGGUGGCAAGGCACACCGGCUCGCGUCCAUUGGCCGGCGGGGCGAGAGGAGGAGCCGCUGGCUCUAGCCGUCGCUAUGUUCCUGGGUCGCCUGAGCCGCCUGCUGAAGCCUGCGCUUCUGUGUGGAGCUUUGACUGCCCCUGGCUUAGCUGGUACCAUGCUACUCCAGAAGCUGAGGCAGGAGGAUCUCAAGUUCGAGCCAGCGCGGGCAGUGCGCUUCUCGGGAUGACUGGCGCAGCGCACACUCCAUGCACGAGUUCUCCGCCAAGGACAUUGACGGGCACAUGGUCAGCCUGGACAAAUACAAGUGAGUGCCUGCCGUUGGGAGGUGUAGGGGUGCCGCCGCCGCGCCCCCAUACACAAACACACACACACACACACACACACACACACACACGCACGCACCUGGCAAUGGUGAGCUCUGGCCUCGCCUGACUGCCACCCACCACCUCCCUCUAGGGGCUUCGUGUGCAUUGUCACCAAUGUGGCCUCACAAUGAGGCAAAACCGAAGUGAACUACACUCAGUUUGUCGACCUGCACGCACGGUAUGCUGAGUGUGGUCUGUGUAUCCUGGCCUUCCCUUGCAACCAGUUCGGGAAGCAGGUGUGUGCUUAUGCCUGGGAAGGGGACAAGGAGAGGGAUGGCAUCAGGUAUUUGCUCCUGCCAAACCUUUUCCCCACCCCACCUCCCAGGAGCCAGGGACUAACGAGGAGGUCAAGCAUUUCGCCGCUGGCUACAACGUCAAGUUCGAUAUGUUCAGCAAGAUCUGUGUAAAUGGGGAUGAUGCCCACCCGCUGUGGAAGUGGAUGAAAGUUCAGCCCAAGGGGAAGGGGAUGCUGGGGAAGUGAGUGCCCUGGGUUGAUGGGGUGUUGUGGGGCCUGGGGUUGGUGGCGGCGGCUUACUCAGACUCUGUUUGUGUUACAGCGCCAUCAAAUGGAACUUCACCAAGGUAAGGGCUGGAGAGGAGGGUGUAGGGGGCCCUGCCUAUCCCAGGGAACUCUCACCCUCCACCAACACAUCCUCCCUCUCCCAAAGUUUCUCAUUGACAAGAAUGGCUGUGUGGUGAAGCGGUACGGCCCCAUGGAGGAGCCUCUGGUAGGUGCUUCCUGACAAGAGGUGGGGGCCCCUGGGGAGAGGACACCUCUCUCAAAUGACCCUGUCCCUGCAGGUGAUAGAGAAGGACCUGACCUGCUACCUGUAGCCCCACAAUUGCACCCCGCUAAGCUCCUGCCCGACCCGAGCCUUCUACCUGGCAACAUGAUGGCCUGCCUGCAAACCAGCAUGCUGGUGGGGCAGACCUGAGAAUGCGUGCACCGCCGGAGGGAGGAGCGGCGACGGCCUGGGCUGGGCGCCCACCCUUGCUGCCUUGUGGGAAUAAAACAUAGAAGCAAGCGGCUAUGUCCUCUUUGGUGUGUGUGUGGGCUCCCUGCCUCGUGCCUGGUAGAUCUGGGUCAGCUGGUCACGGGGCCCUGCUGAUCCAUAGCCCUGGACAGGCAGGUGCUUGGAGAGGAGAUAAUGCUGUAAGUGGCUGAUUUCCUGUUAGGCCAGGCCAGGCCUUGAGGGCAGCUCCAGGGGAGUUGGGGAGGUCAAGACCUGGGCUGGUGUGGGUGCUAAGUCCUUGGUGUUUAGGGAGGAUCACUGUCCAGAUUGGGUUUUUUGUUUUUUGAGACAGGGUCUCACUAUAACUUGAUACUUCAGGCUGGCCUCAGAUACCAGGGAUCCUCCUGCCUCAGCCUCCUGAGCACUAGGAUUACAGGCCUGCCCCACCAUCCCUGGCCAGAUUGUCUCCUGAGAGGGUGAGGGGUGGACUAUGGCCAGGGAGUUCUGCAGAGCUGAGCCCAGCUGCUCCCUGUUCCACCAAGUUCUAGUGCCCCCAGGGAGACCAGCAGCUGGGUGGGGACCGCUGUGCCAGGGGAGAAGGGGUCAGCAGCAUGGGGGUCCUGGGUCCCUAGGAACUGCCUCAGCUGAUUCAUGGAGUCUCCUGUCCUCCCACCUCUUAGACACCUGUGAUCCCUGUGCCCUAGAAGCUCAGGGUGAAGUGGCCCCAAAUUUUGGGCCAGAGGUCAGCAGCACCAUGGGCAGCACAUCUGGUACCUAGGUUCCUGUCAUGGCUGUGUCUAGAGGUCCCCCAAGGCCUCAUGCAGCCUUAAGUGGAGCUUUUCGGAGGUGGCUCUCUAGUGUGAGGCUGGGAUGCAGAGUUCGUGAUUACUUAGUCCACUGAUUGGUUUGGCAGAGUUCUGGGGAGGAUAAUGGGAAGGCCUUUGCCCGGUGUGACCUGGAUGAAGUAUUGUGUAAGGGAUAGGGCUGCUUGCUGCCUUGGCUGCUCUGGAUGCCCCUCGCCAUGCCACCCUGCCUUGGAGCCAGCCAACUAUAAACUGAAACCUGUACUAACAGCUACAUAAACCUCUCCUCCCUUAAGUUUGGUUAUUUUGUCUCAGCAAUAAGGAAAGACAGUUCCUGCCCCCUGCUGGAACCAACGGCUCUGGAGAAAUGCUGGGAGGAAACAGGCCAAGCUCUUGGGCAGGAUAUGCCCAGGUCCCCAGCCCUCCCGCGUCUGCCCGGGUAGCCGGGAGGGUGCCUUUCCCCAGCGACCCACAGGUGCUGCCUCAACAAGGGAUACCACCCCUGCGACCCUGAGCCCCCCAGGUCCCCGUGACCAAAGGCUGGAGGUGCAGACUGUGGGAAGUAGGCAAAAGGCACAUAUAUUUAAAAAAAGAUCUCUUUACAUAUAUACAUUAAAAUUCAUUAUAAAUACACAUAGAAACCAGGGUCUGCCCGCCGUGGAUUAGGGGAGAGGUGGGCGGGCAAUAAUUUAGGGCGCAGGGGGAGGGGAUUGCAUAUAUUAACGGGGUCUGCCCCAAGAAGCCCCGAGGCGGGGCCUGAGCACCGGGGUUUCCUGAGUGAGCAGCUCGGACGGCCAGACUACGGCUCCCAGGCAGCCCGGGUAGAGAGGGAGGCAGCAGGCGCCCUGCCCAGGCCCGGAGGGC
rnacentral:lncRNA from 1 species